CAUGACUUUCCAAUGGCCGCUGCCUCAUACGGGGUUCUUACUCAACUUUUACUAAAACACGUCUGAAGGCUCUUUAUGACGCGCUUAUUGCUCUUUUCUUGAGCGGACAGGGAACUUUACUGCAGCAUCGUGCUGAUGAAAUGCGCGGCAGGCAGGAGUUGAGGCGGUGAGCGGCAGCGGGGGCGGAGUCAACAGGUUCAGCAACAACCAUAUGUGAUCUGUAUAAUUGACCCCUCACAAGAUAAACACAAUGAAUCAGGAAUUAUAAAAGAAGAGGAAAGUGGAGAACAUCAUGUAAGAACACAAAUGCCGACUGUUUAUUUCCAAAAUCUUUUUGGAAAUAAAUUAAAUAGGCCUGUGUGACAUGGGAAACAACCCCGACAGAAAACCCUUCAGCAGCAAAGGAGAGUCGCUCCUCCAUUCAUCUGUCUAGACAUUUUCCCACACAGAAUAAGCACAUCUACUCUCUCCUCUGAAUGCUCUUAUGGGUAAAUAAUCCACAGAAAGCAUCUAAUUUGAACGUCGUUUUGGAUUCUUCCGUGUGAUUGUGGGCGAACUCUAGAGGUAGCCAUGUCUGGUAAGGGCAACCCCAGCCCACACCUCAAUGGCUUCCCAAUGGCCCACUAUUCCUAUUUCUUCCCGCACAUACUGGGAGGGCUUUCUCCGCCUUCUCUGCCCACCCUACCCCUCAGUGGAUACAGCACACCUUCA